rnacentral:rRNA from 1 species
GGAUAACUUCGGGAAACCGGAGCUAAUACCGGAUAAUAUUUUGAACCGCAUGGUUCAAAAGUGAAAGACGGUCUUGCUGUCACUUAUAGAUGGAUCCGCGCUGCAUUAGCUAGUUGGUAAGGUAACGGCUUACCAAGGCAACGAUGCAUAGCCGACCUGAGAGGGUGAUCGGCCACACUGGAACUGAGACACGGUCCAGACUCCUACGGGAGGCAGCAGUAGGGAAUCUUCCGCAAUGGGCGAAAGCCUGACGGAGCAACGCCGCGUGAGUGAUGAAGGUCUUCGGAUCGUAAAACUCUGUUAUUAGGGAAGAACAUAUGUGUAAGUAACUGUGCACAUCUUGACGGUACCUAAUCAGAAAGCCACGGCUAACUACGUGCCAGCAGCCGCGGUAAUACGUAGGUGGCAAGCGUUAUCCGGAAUUAUUGGGCGUAAAGCGCGCGUAGGCGGUUUUUUAAGUCUGAUGUGAAAGCCCACGGCUCAACCGUGGAGGGUCAUUGGAAACUGGAAAACUUGAGUGCAGAAGAGGAAAGUGGAAUUCCAUGUGUAGCGGUGAAAUGCGCAGAGAUAUGGAGGAACACCAGUGGCGAAGGCGACUUUCUGGUCUGUAACUGACGCUGAUGUGCGAAAGCGUGGGGAUCAAACAGGAUUAGAUACCCUGGUAGUCCACGCCGUAAACGAUGAGUGCUAAGUGUUAGGGGGUUUCCGCCCCUUAGUGCUGCAGCUAACGCAUUAAGCACUCCGCCUGGGGAGUACGACCGCAAGGUUGAAACUCAAAGGAAUUGACGGGGACCCGCACAAGCGGUGGAGCAUGUGGUUUAAUUCGAAGCAACGCGAAGAACCUUACCAAAUCUUGACAUCCUUUGACAACUCUAGAGAUAGAGCCUUCCCCUUCGGGGGACAAAGUGACAGGUGGUGCAUGGUUGUCGUCAGCUCGUGUCGUGAGAUGUUGGGUUAAGUCCCGCAACGAGCGCAACCCUUAAGCUUAGUUGCCAUCAUUAAGUUGGGCACUCUAAGUUGACUGCCGGUGACAAACCGGAGGAAGGUGGGGAUGACGUCAAAUCAUCAUGCCCCUUAUGAUUUGGGCUACACACGUGCUACAAUGGACAAUACAAAGGGCAGCGAAACCGCGAGGUCAAGCAAAUCCCAUAAAGUUGUUCUCAGUUCGGAUUGUAGUCUGCAACUCGACUACAUGAAGCUGGAAUCGCUAGUAAUCGUAGAUCAGCAUGCUACGGUGAAUACGUUCCCGGGUCUUGUACACACCGCCCGUCACACCACGAGAGUUUGUAACACCCGAAGCCGGUGGAGUAACCUUUUAGGAGCUAGCCGU